UACACGACCGUACCGCAAACCGACACUGGUGCGCGAGAUGAGUAUUCUAAGGCGCUUGAGAGAACUCAGGAGAAGGAACUCGGCAAAUUGACUCCGUAACUUCGGAAGAAGGUGUGCCUUUAGUAGGUGAACCAUUUACUUGGGGAGCCCAAUGAGGCUGCAAAAAAUCGGUGGCUGCAACUGUUUAUUAAAAACACAGCACUCUGCUAAGACGAAAGUCGACGUAUAGGGUGUGACGCCUGCCCGGUGCUGGAAGAUUAAAUGAUGGGGUGCAAGCUCUUGAUUGAAGUCCCAGUAAACGGCGGCCGUAACAAUAACGGUCCUAAGGUAGCGAAAUUCCUUGUCGGGUAAGUUCCGACCUGCACGAAUGGCGUAAUGAUGGCCACACUGUCUCCUCCUGAGACUCAGCGAAGUUGAAAUGUUUGUGAUGAUGCAAUCUCCCCGCGGAAAGACGGAAAGACCCCAUGAACCUUUACUGUAGCUUUGUAUUGGACUUUGAACAGAUCUGUGUAGGAUAGGUGGGAGGCUUUGAAGUGUGGUCUCUAGAUCGCAUGGAGCCAACGUUGAAAUACCACCCUGGUGUGUUUGAGGUUCUAACCUAGGUCCAUUAUCUGGAUCGGGGACAGUGCAUGGUAGGCAGUUUGACUGGGGCGGUCUCCUCCCAAAGUGUAACGGAGGAGUUCGAAGGUACGCUAGUUACGGUCGGACAUCGUGAUAAUAGUGCAAUGGCAUAAGCGUGCUUAACUGCGAGACUGACAAGUCGAGCAGAUGCGAAAGCAGGACAUAGUGAUCCGGUGGUUCUGUAUGGAAGGGCCAUCGCUCAACGGAUAAAAGGUACUCUGGGGAUAACAGGCUGAUACCGCCCAAGAGUUCAUAUCGACGGCGGUGUUUGGCACCUCGAUGUCGGCUCAUCUCAUCCUGGGGCUGUAGCCGGUCCCAAGGGUAUGGCUGUUCGCCAUUUAAAGAGGUACGUGAGCUGGGUUUAAAACGUCGUGAGGCAGUUUGGUCCCUAUCUUCCGUGGGCGCUGCAGAUUUGAGGAAGCCUGCUCCUAGUACGAGAGGACCGGAGUAGACGAACCUCUGGUGUAUCGGUUGUCACGCCAGUGGCAUUGCCGAGUAGCUAAGUUCGGAAGAGAUAACCGCUGAAAGCAUCUAAGCGGGAAACUCGUUUCAAGAUCAGAUCUGCCGGGGCCUUGAGCCCCCUAAAGAGUCGUUCAAGACCAGGACGUUGAUAGGUCAGGUGUGGAAGC
rnacentral:rRNA from 1 species